AGAGAGAAGGAGCUUGCUCCUUUGACGUUAGCGGCGGACGGGUGAGUAACACGUGGGCAACCUACCUUAUAGUUUGGGAUAACUCCGGGAAACCGGGGCUAAUACCGAAUAAUCUGUUUCACCUCAUGGUGAAAUAUUGAAAGACGGUUUCGGCUGUCGCUAUAGGAUGGGCCCGCGGCGCAUUAGCUAGUUGGUGAGGUAACGGCUCACCAAGGCGACGAUGCGUAGCCGACCUGAGAGGGUGAUCGGCCACACUGGGACUGAGACACGGCCCAGACUCCUACGGGAGGCAGCAGUGGG
rnacentral:rRNA from 1 species